CCUACGGGAGGCAGCAGUGGGGAAUUUUGGACAAUGGGCGCAAGCCUGAUCCAGCCAUGCCGCGUGUGGGAAGAAGGCCUUCGGGUUGUAAACCACUUUUGUCAGGGAAGAAACGGUCUGAUCUAAUACAUUGGGCUAAUGACGGUACCUGAAGAAUAAGCACCGGCUAACUACGUGCCAGCAGCCGCGGUAAUACGUAGGGUGCAAGCGUUAAUCGGAAUUACUGGGCGUAAAGCGUGCGCAGGCGGCUUUGCAAGACAGAUGUGAAAUCCCCGGGCUCAACCUGGGAACUGCAUUUGUGACUGCAUGGCUAGAGUACGGUAGAGGGGGAUGGAAUUCCGCGUGUAGCAGUGAAAUGCGUAGAUAUGCGGAGGAACACCGAUGGCGAAGGCAAUCCCCUGGACCUGUACUGACGCUCAUGCACGAAAGCGUGGGGAGCAAACAGGAUUAGAUACCCUGGUAGUCCACGCCCUAAACGAUGUCAACUGGUUGUUGGACGGCUUGCUGUUCAGUAACGAGCUAACGCGUGAAGUUGACCGCCUGGGGGUAGGUUACGGCGCGAGGUUAGUAACGACGAAGGAGUAGAGGCGNGAGACGNGCGACGGACGACGACGAGGGAGGAGG
rnacentral:rRNA from 1 species